rnacentral:tRNA from 1 species
AGGGAUGUAGCUCAGUGGUAGAGAGUACUUGCCUAACAUGCAAGAGGCCCUGGAUUUGAUACACUCCUA